UAAGUCAGUUGUGAAAGUUUGCGGCUCAACCGUAAAAUUGCAGUUGAUACUGGUUUCCUUGAGUGCAGUUGAGGCAGGCGGAAUUCGUGGUGUAGCGGUGAAAUGCUUAGAUAUCACGAAGAACCCCGAUUGCGAAGGCAGCUUGCUAAACUGUAACUGACGUUCAUGCUCGAAAGUGUGGGUAUCAAACAGGAUUAGAUACCCUGGUAGUCCACACGGUAAACGAUGAAUACUCGCUGUUUGCGAUAUACUGCAAGCGGCCAAGCGAAAGCGUUAAGUAUUCCACCUGGGGAGUACGCCGGCAACGGUGAAACUCAAAGGAAUUGACGGGGGCCCGCACAAGCGGAGGAACAUGUGGUUUAAUUCGAUGAUACGCGAGGAACCUUACCCGGGCUUAAAUUGCAGACGAAUUACGAGGAAACUUGUAAGCCGCAAGGCGUCUGUGAAGGUGCUGCAUGGUUGUCGUCAGCUCGUGCCGUGAGGUGUCGGCUUAAGUGCCAUAACGAGCGCAACCCUUGUUGUCAGUUACUAACAGGUUACGCUGAGGACUCUGACAAGACUGCCAUCGUAAGAUGUGAGGAAGGUGGGGAUGACGUCAAAUCAGCACGGCCCUUACGUCCGGGGCUACACACGUGUUACAAUGGGGGGUACAGAGGGCCGCUACCACGCGAGUGGAUGCCAAUCCCCAAAACCUCUCUCAGUUCGGACUGGAGUCUGCAACCCGACUCCACGAAGCUGGAUUCGCUAGUAAUCGCGCAUCAGCCACGGCGCGGUGAAUACGUUCCCGGGCCUUGUACACACCGCCCGUCAAGCCAUGAAAGCCGGGGGUACCUGAAGUGCGUAACCGCAAGGAGCGCCCUAGGGUAAAACCGGUAAUUGGGGCUAAGUCGUAACAAGGUAGCCGUACCGGAAGGUGCGGCUG
rnacentral:rRNA from 1 species